CGGGAGAUGGCGGCAGCCGUCAGCGUGGCCUGGGGUGUGCCGCAGUAAGAAGCUGCAGCGAGAUACGAUGGCCUGAUCUCUCUCGCUCCGUGGCUGCUGCAGGAGCACAGAGGCCCGGUGCAGGGCUCCCAGAUUCACAACAGCAAAGCGAAGCAGCCACAGCGAGUGGCGUGACCUUACAGGGUGGGCGUGUCCCCCGAGGUCUUUGCGACGUCCCAGGGGGCUGCAGAGAAAGAAAAAAGUCUGGAGUAGAAUGCACGAUCAUCCUGCCCAGAGUCAAGCCAGCUGAGCUCUGGCCCUUCCUAGCUGCUGUCAGGCGUCAGGCAAGUCCUGGGACGCCCCGGACCCUCGGGUCCCUCACCUGGAAUGAGGGGAUGGUGGUAAGCCCGGGAAAGCGGCCCAGGGUCUCCGUUUCCCUCGGGGUGCAUGCUGGGGCCUGUGUGCCUGCUCCUUCUGGGGUCUCCGUUCCUCUUGGCAUGCAUACUGGGGUCUCUGUGCCUUUGGUCGGUCAAGCGUGCUCCCUGGUCCCUGGUCCAUAAGG